rfam:Virgibacillus soli strain PL205 scaffold000007, whole genome shotgun sequence.
UAAUAAGGAUCAAAGGCUAAUUUCGCAACAUCCUGUUGCAUGCCUUUGGGACCUGCUACUUGCAGG